CCUACGGGCGGCAGCAGUGGGGAAUAUUGCACAAUGGGGGAAACCCUGAUGCAGCGACGCCGCGUGAGCGAUGAAGUAUUUAGGUAUGUAAAGCUCUAUCAGCAGGGAAGAAAAUGACGGUACCUGACUAAGAAGCCCCGGCUAACUACGUGCCAGCAGCCGCGGUAAUACGUAGGGGGCAAGCGUUAUCCGGAUUUACUGGGUGUAAAGGGAGCGUAGACGGCGGUGCAAGCCAGAUGUGAAAGCCCCGGGCUCAACCCCGGGACUGCAGUUGGAACUGUGCUGCUAGAGUGUCGGAGAGGCAGGCGGAAUUCCUAGUGUAGCGGUGAAAUGCGUAGAUAUUAGGAGGAACACCAGUGGCGAAGGCGGCCUGCUGGAGGAUGACUGACGUUGAGGCUCGAAAGCGUGUGGAGCGAACAGGAUUAGAUACCCUUGUAGUC
rnacentral:rRNA from 1 species